AGGACGAACGCUGGCGGCGUGCUUAACACAUGCAAGUCGAGCGGAAAGGCCCUUCGGGGUACUCGAGCGGCGAACGGGUGAGUAACACGUGAGUAACCUGCCCCUAGCUCUGGGAUAGCUCCGGGAAACCGGGAUUAAUAUCAGAUACGACCACUUUAGACAUCUGUCGUGGUGGAAAGGAUUCCGGCUAGGGAUGGGCUCGCGGCCUAUCAGCUUGUUGGUGGGGUAACGGCCUACCAAGGCGACGACGGGUA
rnacentral:rRNA from 1 species